rnacentral:rRNA from 1 species
UACGUAGGUGGCAAGCGUUGUCCGGAUUUACUGGGCGUAAAGAGCGCGCAGGCUGCGGGGCAAGUCGGGUGUGAAAUCUCAGAGCUCAACUCUGAAACUGCACUCGAUACUGCUUUGCUUGAGGACUGGAGAGGAGAUUGGAAUUCACGGUGUAGCAGUGAAAUGCGUAGAUAUCGUGAGGAAGACCAGUGGCGAAGGCGGAUCUCUGGACAGUUCCUGACGCUGAGGCGCGAAGGCCAGGGGAGCAAACGGG